rnacentral:ribozyme from 13 species
AAAUUCAGGCAUCAACAAAGGAAAUAAAACCACUUGGACUUUAUGAUCACUUGGUUCAUAUGAGGUGUGUUUGUUUCUAGAUUUUUUUUUUUUUUUCAUCUUCUGUGU